UACGUAGGGUGCAAGCGUUAAUCGGAAUUACUGGGCGUAAAGCGUGCGCAGGCGGUGAUGUAAGACAGAUGUGAAAUCCCCGGGCUCAACCUGGGAACUGCAUUUGUGACUGCAUCGCUGGAGUGCGGCAGAGGGGGAUGGAAUUCCGCGUGUAGCAGUGAAAUGCGUAGAUAUGCGGAGGAAUACCGAUGGCGAAGGCAGCCCCCUGGGAUAACACUGACGCUCAUGCACGAAAGCGUGGGGAGCAAACAGG
rnacentral:rRNA from 1 species